UUCUGAUUCGAAGCGCCAAUAGUUGUUGGUUGCUUCAUUUCUUAAAAAGAUUAAAGUUUUCUAUUAUUUUAUAAUUUUUUGACUCUGUUUACUUCAGUUUCUCUUUUCUAGGUGUGGGAUGAGAGACAUAUACUGCUUUAAGAACAUCUAACCUAUGUUUACACAAUUCACGAAAAACCAGCAACGGUAUAUACUGGUUGCUUAUUUUUAUUUUGAUUUUUUCUAUUUUUCUUCUGAAAGGUUAUAUGAAGCAAAAGACAAGAAGAAGAAUAGAAAAUAUAGAUAUUUUAUUUUCUCUGUGCAAAUGCUCAUUUGAAGGAGAAAGAUUGAAGUGGGAUCACUACAUUGCAAAAAAAGAUGGAAAACGGUAAUUUUCUUAGAAAUAUACUCACUUCCCCGACAACAACUAAAUGAUUAAUUGAGGGUACGAUAUUCUCUUAGGCAAGAAAUAAUUAUUUAUUUAAUAGUAGUAUAAUUUUUAGAUUUCUUUUUUUUUUGGAUGUCCUCGAAGGGACAUGACUCAUAUAGUUGUAACAUUAAUUGAAAUGAGUUUAGGAACUCUUCUGUAUGGAUAACUAUAAUAUAAUUGUACUGAAAAUUUAAAAUUAGUAGAGUUUGUGUUCAAUUUGGAUUAUUUUUGUGGAUGAUACGUACUCGAAAAUAUAUCAUAUGGAACCGGUAUGUCUUUACAUACAAAGGAUGCUACGUUGAAAUAUUCUUGAGUCGGAAAAUUUAAGAGCUAUUGUAAAAAUCUUGAAAGAAGACAAAAUCGUUGGCUUCUCAACAUGUUGCUUAUUUUAGAGUAGAAAAUAUUUUCGUGGGUAUAGAGUCUCUUCCUGUCCAAUGCCCUCUAAAAAGCAUAUUUGAUAAGAAACAAGACAAGUACAGUGAUUAAAACAAUGAUUAAAUUGAUAUUUAUUUAUUCUCAUUUUUUAUUGUUACCUUUUUUGCUUUUUCCCUAUUUUUUCCACUGAUAUGAUCAUAUGUUAGAAAAAAUAGAAUUUAAUUUAUAACCGAUUUUAGACGGACUUUCAUCUUCCGAAGUUCACAUCCAGCGUCAAGUAUUUAAGAAUGCUGAAUUUGCGAUAUGCUAGAGCUAGUUUUUUACCCAACGGAGUUGAUAUUAUUGAGGUAUCUUGCUAUUCACAUUGUUAGGAAGGAAAUAAUAAAAAUAAAUUACUGUGGAAAUGCUCUAAUAAUAUUGUUGUUCUUGCUCUUUAAUUUGGAUCCUACUGAUAUAAUUAUGUGAACAAAAAAAUAUAUCUUGAGUGUUGACACAAAAGAAAAAAAAGAAUAAGGAGGAACCAGAAUUUUUCUUAUCCUCUUUCUGAUACUUGGAUCCUUUUUUUUUUUUUUGAAUGAAUUACUUUUUUCAAUUUGUAGGAUUGGCGAUGCGAACAUUGAAAGAGAAAGAAGCAAACUUUUUGGAAAUUUUGCAGAGAGUUAGUAGAAGAAAUUGGAGAUUUGUAAAUACUAUGAAGAAGGGAGCAA
rnacentral:lncRNA from 1 species